rnacentral:rRNA from 2 species
UAUCAAUAAGCGGAGGAAAAGAAACCAACAGGGAUUGCCCCAGUAACGGCGAGUGAAGCGGCAGCAGCUCAAAUUUGAAAUCUGGCGCCCCCGCGGCGCCCGAGUUGUAAUUUGCAGAGGAUGCUUUUGGCGCGGCGCCUUCCGAGUUCCCUGGAACGGGACGCCAUAGAGGGUGAGAGCCCCGUCUGGUCGGGCGCCUAGCCUCUGUAAAGCUCCUUCGACGAGUCGAGUAGUUUGGGAAUGCUGCUCUAAGUGGGAGGUAUAUGUCUUCUAAAGCUAAAUACCGGCCAGAGACCGAUAGCGCACAAGUAGAGUGAUCGAAAGAUGAAAAGUACUUUGAAAAGAGGGUUAAACAGUACGUGAAAUUGUUGAAAGGGAAGCGCUCGUGACCAGACUCGGGCGCGGACAAUCAUCCGGCGUUCUCGCCGGUGCACUUGGCCGCGCCCGGGCCAGCAUCAGCUCGCCGCGGGGGACAAAGGCGCCGGGAACGUGGCUCCCCCGGGAGUGUUAUAGCCCGGCGCGCAAUGCCCCGCGGCGGACUGAGGUUCGCGCGUCCGCAAGGAUGCUGGCGUAAUGGUCACCAGUGACCCGUCUUGAAACACGGACCAAGGAGUCGUCCUCGUAUGCGAGUGUUCGGGUGUCAAACCCCUACGCGCAAUGAAAGUGAACGCAGGUGAGAGCCCUCGGGGCGCAUCAUCGACCGAUCCUGAUGUUCUCGGAUGGAUUUGAGUAAGAGCAUACGGGGCCGGACCCGAAAGAAGGUGAACUAUGCCUGUGUAGGGUGAAGCCAGAGGAAACUCUGGUGGAGGCUCGCAGCGGUUCUGACGUGCAAAUCGAUCGUCAAACAUGGGCAUGGGGGCGAAAGACUAAUCGAACCUUCUAGUAGCUGGU